rnacentral:rRNA from 1 species
GUGGGGAAUAUUGCACAAUGGGCGAAAGCCUGAUGCAGCGACGCCGCGUGAGGGAUGACGGCCUUCGGGUUGUAAACCUCUUUCGCCCGGGACGAAGCGAGAGUGACGGUACCGGGAGAAGAAGCACCGGCUGACUACGUGCCAGCAGCCGCGGUAAUACGUAGGGUGCGAGCGUUGUCCGGAAUUAUUGGGCGUAAAGAGCUCGUAGGCGGUUUGUCGCGUCGACUGUGAAAACCUGGGGCUCAACUCUGGGCCUGCAGUCGAUACGGGCAGACUUGAGUUCGGUAGGGGAGACUGGAAUUCCUGGUGUAGCAGUGAAAUGCGCAGAUAUCAGGAGGAACACCGGUGGCGAAGGCGGGUCUCUGGGCCGAUACUGACGCUGAGGAGCGAAAGCGUGGGGAGCGAA